rnacentral:rRNA from 1 species
GGGUUGUGAGGUUAAGCGACUAAGCGUACACGGUGGAUGCCCUGGCAGUCAGAGGCGAUGAAGGACGUGCUAAUCUGCGAUAAGCGUCGGUAAGGUGAUAUGAACCGUUAUAACCGGCGAUUUCCGAAUGGGGAAACCCAGUGUGAUUCGUCACACUAUCAUUAACUGAAUCCAUAGGUUAAUGAGGCGAACCGGGGGAACUGAAACAUCUAAGUACCCCGAGGAAAAGAAAUCAACCGAGAUUCCCCCAGUAGCGGCGAGCGAACGGGGAGCAGCCCAGAGCCUGAAUCAGUGUGUGUGUUAGUGGAAGCGUCUGGAAAGGCGCGCGAUACAGGGUGACAGCCCCGUACACAAAAAUGCACAUACUGUGAGCUCGAUGAGUAGGGCGGGACACGUGGUAUCCUGUCUGAAUAUGGGGGGACCAUCCUCCAAGGCUAAAUACUCCUGACUGACCGAUAGUGAACCAGUACCGUGAGGGAAAGGCGAAAAGAACCCCGGCGAGGGGAGUGAAAAAGAACCUGAAACCGUGUACGUACAAGCAGUGGGAGCACAGAGCAAUCUGUGUGACUGCGUACCUUUUGUAUAAUGGGUCAGCGACUUAUAUUCUGUAGCAAGGUUAACCGAAUAGGGGAGCCGAAGGGAAACCGAGUCUUAACUGGGCGUUAAGUUGCAGGGUAUAGACCCGAAACCCGGUGAUCUAGCCAUGGGCAGGUUGAAGGUUGGGUAACACUAACUGGAGGACCGAACCGACUAAUGUUGAAAAAUUAGCGGAUGACUUGUGGCUGGGGGUGAAAGGCCAAUCAAACCGGGAGAUAGCUGGUUCUCCCCGAAAGCUAUUUAGGUAGCGCCUCGUGAAUUCAUCUCCGGGGGUAGAGCACUGUUUCGGCAAGGGGGUCAUCCCGACUUACCAACCCGAUGCAAACUGCGAAUACCGGAGAAUGUUAUCACGGGAGACACACGGCGGGUGCUAACGUCCGUCGUGAAGAGGGAAACAACCCAGACCGCCAGCUAAGGUCCCAAAGUCAUGGUUAAGUGGGAAACGAUGUGGGAAGGCCCAGACAGCCAGGAUGUUGGCUUAGAAGCAGCCAUCAUUUAAAGAAAGCGUAAUAGCUCACUGGUCGAGUCGGCCUGCGCGGAAGAUGUAACGGGGCUAAACCAUGCACCGAAGCUGCGGCAGCGACGCUUAUGCGUUGUUGGGUAGGGGAGCGUUCUGUAAGCCUGUGAAGGUGUGCUGUGAGGCAUGCUGGAGGUAUCAGAAGUGCGAAUGCUGACAUAAGUAACGAUAAAGCGGGUGAAAAGCCCGCUCGCCGGAAGACCAAGGGUUCCUGUCCAACGUUAAUCGGGGCAGGGUGAGUCGACCCCUAAGGCGAGGCCGAAAGGCGUAGUCGAUGGGAAACAGGUUAAUAUUCCUGUACUUGGUGUUACUGCGAAGGGGGGACGGAGAAGGCUAUGUUGGCCGGGCGACGGUUGUCCCGGUUUAAGCGUGUAGGCUGGUUUUCCAGGCAAAUCCGGAAAAUCAAGGCUGAGGCGUGAUGACGAGGCACUACGGUGCUGAAGCAACAAAUGCCCUGCUUCCAGGAAAAGCCUCUAAGCAUCAGGUAACAUCAAAUCGUACCCCAAACCGACACAGGUGGUCAGGUAGAGAAUACCAAGGCGCUUGAGAGAACUCGGGUGAAGGAACUAGGCAAAAUGGUGCCGUAACUUCGGGAGAAGGCACGCUGAUAUGUAGGUGAAGUCCCUCGCGGAUGGAGCUGAAAUCAGUCGAAGAUACCAGCUGGCUGCAACUGUUUAUUAAAAACACAGCACUGUGCAAACACGAAAGUGGACGUAUACGGUGUGACGCCUGCCCGGUGCCGGAAGGUUAAUUGAUGGGGUUAGCGCAAGCGAAGCUCUUGAUCGAAGCCCCGGUAAACGGCGGCCGUAACUAUAACGGUCCUAAGGUAGCGAAAUUCCUUGUCGGGUAAGUUCCGACCUGCACGAAUGGCGUAAUGAUGGCCAGGCUGUCUCCACCCGAGACUCAGUGAAAUUGAACUCGCUGUGAAGAUGCAGUGUACCCGCGGCAAGACGGAAAGACCCCGUGAACCUUUACUAUAGCUUGACACUGAACAUUGAGCCUUGAUGUGUAGGAUAGGUGGGAGGCUUUGAAGUGUGGACGCCAGUCUGCAUGGAGCCGACCUUGAAAUACCACCCUUUAAUGUUUGAUGUUCUAACGUUGACCCGUGAUCCGGGUUGCGGACAGUGUCUGGUGGGUAGUUUGACUGGGGCGGUCUCCUCCUAAAGAGUAACGGAGGAGCACGAAGGUUGGCUAAUCCUGGUCGGACAUCAGGAGGUUAGUGCAAUGGCAUAAGCCAGCUUGACUGCGAGCGUGACGGCGCGAGCAGGUGCGAAAGCAGGUCAUAGUGAUCCGGUGGUUCUGAAUGGAAGGGCCAUCGCUCAACGGAUAAAAGGUACUCCGGGGAUAACAGGCUGAUACCGCCCAAGAGUUCAUAUCGACGGCGGUGUUUGGCACCUCGAUGUCGGCUCAUCACAUCCUGGGGCUGAAGUAGGUCCCAAGGGUAUGGCUGUUCGCCAUUUAAAGUGGUACGCGAGCUGGGUUUAGAACGUCGUGAGACAGUUCGGUCCCUAUCUGCCGUGGGCGCUGGAGAACUGAGGGGGGCUGCUCCUAGUACGAGAGGACCGGAGUGGACGCAUCACUGGUGUUCGGGUUGUCAUGCCAAUGGCACUGCCCGGUAGCUAAAUGCGGAAGAGAUAAGUGCUGAAAGCAUCUAAGCACGAAACUUGCCCCGAGAUGAGUUCUCCCUGACCCUUUAAGGGUCCUGAAGGAACGUUGAAGACGACGACGUUGAUAGGCCGGGUGUGUAAGCGCAGCGAUGCGUUGAGCUAACCGGUACUAAUGAACCGUGAGGCUUAACCUUACAACGCCGAAG